GAUGAACGCUAGCGGCAGGCCUAACACAUGCAAGUCGAGGGGUAGAGGAAGCUUGCUUCCUUGAGACCGGCGCACGGGUGCGUAACGCGUAUGCAAUCUACCUUUUACAGAGGGAUAGCCCAGAGAAAUUUGGAUUAAUACCUCAUAGUAUUUUCGAAUGGCAUCAUUUGAUUAUUAAAGUUCCAACGGUAAAAGAUGAGCAUGCGUCCUAUUAGCUAGAUGGUAAGGUAACGGCUUACCAUGGCAACGAUAGGUAGGGGUCCUGAGAGGGAGAUCCCCCACACGGGUACUGAGACACGGACCAGACUCCUACGGGAGGCAGCAGUGAGGAAUAUUGGACAAUGGGCGCAAGCCUGAUCCAGCCAUGCCGCGUGCAGGAAGACGCAUCUAUGGUGUGUAAACUGCUUUUGUACGGGAAGAAACACUCCCUCGUGAGGGAGCUUGACGGUACCGUAAGAAUAAGGAUCGGCUAACUCCGUGCCAGCAGCCGCAGUAAAAC
rnacentral:rRNA from 1 species